AUUGAACGCUGGCGGCAGGCUUAACACAUGCAAGUCGAACGAGUGGCGGACGGGUGAGUAAUGCUUGGGAAUCUAGCUUAUGGAGGGGGAUAACUACGGGAAACUGUAGCUAAUACCGCGUACCAUAGGAUGAGCCCAAGUGGGAUCAGGUAGUUGGUGAGGUAAAGGAUCACCAAGCCGACGACCUCUAGCUGGUCUGAGAGGAUGACGAGCCACACUGGGACUGAGACACGGCCCAGACUCCUACGGGAGGCAGCAGUGAGGAAUAUUGGGCAAUGGGGACAACCUGACGCAGCCAUGCCGCGUGAAUAAAGAAGACCAUCGGGUUGUAAGGUUCUUUCGGUAGCGAGGCGUUAACUACAGAAGAAGCACCGGCUAACACCGUGCCAGCGGCGGCGGUAAUUC
rnacentral:rRNA from 1 species